rnacentral:rRNA from 1 species
CCUACGGGAGGCAGCAGUAGGGAAUCUUCCACAAUGGGCGAAAGCCUGAUGGAGCAACGCCGCGUGGGUGAAGAAGGUCUUCGGAUCGUAAAACCCUGUUGUUAGAGAAGAAAGUGCGUGAGAGUAACUGUUCACGUUUCGACGGUAUCUAACCAGAAAGCCACGGCUAACUACGUGCCAGCAGCCGCGGUAAUACGUAGGUGGCAAGCGUUAUCCGGAUUUAUUGGGCGUAAAGGGAACGCAGGCGGUCUUUUAAGUCUGAUGUGAAAGCCUUCGGCUUAACCGGAGUAGUGCAUUGGAAACUGGGAGACUUGAGUGCAGAAGAGGAGAGUGGAACACCAUGUGUAGCGGUGAAAUGCGUAGAUAUAUGGAAGAACACCAGUGGCGAAAGCGGCUCUCUGAUCUGUAACUGACGCUGAGGUUCGAAAGCGUGGGUAGCAAACAGGAUUAGAUACCCUUGUAGUC